AGCAGCCGCGGUAAUUCCAGCUCCAAUAGCGUAUAUUAAAGUUGUUGCAGUUAAAAAGCUCGUAGUUGAACUUCGGGGUUUACCCAUUGGUCAGGCUUAAUUGUCUGUACUGGUGAGAUAAAUCUCUACCUUCUGAGGAACUUUCAUGCCAUUUAUUUGGUGUGAUUGGAAAUCAGGACUAUUACUUUGAAAAAAUUAGAGUGUUUAAAGCAGGCUAACGUCUGAAUAUAUUAGCAUGGAAUAAUGAAAUAGGACGGCUUGGUUCUAUUUCGUUGGUUUCUAGGAUCACCGUAAUGAUUAAUAGGGAUAGUUGGGGGCAUUAGUAUUCAAUUGUCAGAGGUGAAAUUCUUGGAUUUAUUGAAGACUAACUACUGCGAAAGCAUUUGCCAAGGAUGUUUUCAUUAAUCAAGAACGAAAGUUAGGGGAUCGAAGACGAUCAGAUACCGUCGUAGUCUUAACCAUAAACUAUGCCGACUAGGGA
rnacentral:rRNA from 1 species